AUGCAUUGCGCCUCCAUAAUUGGUAAGCACUGUUACAUCAGUAGACUGCAUUGAUACGUCAUUGGGGAAACAAUGUGUUUUCCAACCUUUUCUUUGACAAAUACUGUAUAUGAACACAAUGGGUUUAUAUAUGAUUGCCUGGUUAGCGUUUUCCUAUUUGUUAAUGAAGGUACAAGUUUCUUAUUUGGGGGAUCUCUGAUACUCAACUCUUCAUUUUGCCAUGCUGUACCCUUUUCGACACGACACAACAUGUGACAUGACAUGGAAUAUGUGUCUGAUACACAUUCAUAUAGUCAGACACUCAAGUGAUAGAGAUCUGUCAAGAUAAAAAGCAUACUAAAUUAAAGGAUAGGUAAAAUAAAGUUAAAAAGAGAAUGCAAUUUUGAAUUAAAGGAUAGGUACAAA
rnacentral:misc_RNA from 1 species